rnacentral:ribozyme from 13 species
GAAGGAACAAGAGGAGUGGAAGAAGAAGACAAGACUCUUUUCCCAUCCUCUCCCUUUUGUUUUUUUUUUUUCCUUUUUCCUCUCCCUCUC